AAAGACCCACGAGGGGCAGCAAGAGGAAGGAAUGGCCUGACUGAUCACAGAAGCUGAACCCUGACAGAGCUCUGACUUUGAACUUCACUUCUGCUUGGAUGGGAAGAAAAACACGACUUCUCCUAAGCAAGGAUUUUAAUUGUCAUGAAUGCACAGCAAACUGUGGCUCCAUACCCAGCAUGGAGCCAACAUGAGGUUCAAACUCAGAGAUUAAUUUGAGAUUAAGACCUAAGCUGACAAUAGCCAAACUGUGGAAGGAGCCUCGGUGUCCAUCGAAAGAUGAAUGGAUAAAGAAGAUGUGGUUUAUGUAUACAAUGGAAUAUUACUCAGCCAUUAGAAACGACA